CCCAAACAGGCGGCAAUAACUACGCUCUUAGAGUCAUUACUUGAGGUAAACCAUCACCACUUCUUUCAGCGGGCACAACAGCUGAGCCAUGGGCGGAGGACCGUCAAAACCUGAGACAACAACAAGAGAGAUCUGCAGUUUGUGGAGGAUU